CAGCCAGCCAGCCUCGCUGUUUUUGCCCCACACGUUCACAAGCCAGACAACGGCGGCGACGACCAAGAACACAAGACUCCAGAGAGAAUUCUUCGUCCCUCCUCGUCUUCUUCUUCCUCCCCACUUGCGCGGCCAGGCCAGGGGCAUCCACCACCCCUUCUCUUCUCCUCUGUCAUGAGUAGGUGAGAGAGGUGUGAGCCAGAGACCAGCCGUCCCGUCGCCGUCGCCGUCGGGACCUCCAUCCCUCCCAACCCAGCUUUGACUGGACCGGCCCGCCCCUUUCCUUCCGCCGUCAGCACUUCGGGCCAACUAUCCCCUCCGCUCCGCUGCUUCCGCGCGCGUGCGUGCGCCUAUCAUCGCCCUCCUCCCCCCCUUUCCCCGUCCCUUCCCUCCCUGCCCGGAUCGGACCCCACCUCCGCCUCCCAGGACCACUGCUCUGCUCCUGCUGGGAUCUCCCCUCGUCGCCGGCAACCGCGCCGCACCGCACCCAAGCAGCAGCAGCAGCGAUGAGGUGCCUGCCGUUCCUGCACGGCGGGGACGCCAAGGACGACGACCGGCGCACGGGCCCCAGCGCCGGCAUGUCGGCCUCGGUGCGCUCCUUCAGCACCGAGGAGUCCACGGAGCGCGGCGACCCGCGCUCCGGCUCCGACCUCAACUCCAUCAACGUCUCCGACAUGAGCGCCGAGUCCAUCCGCCGGACGCAGUACCCCAGCUUCACCGACCGCCCCGCCAACCUCCGGGUCUUCACCUUCCCCGAGCUCAAGGCCGCCACCCGCAACUUCAGCCGCUCCCUCAUGGUCGGCGAGGGCGGCUUCGGCUGCGUCUACAGGGGCGUCAUCAAGGGCUCCGACGACCCCACCGAGCGCGUCGAGAUCGCCGUCAAGCAGCUGAACCGCAAGGGAGUCCAGGGGCAGAAGGAGUGGUUAACAGAAAUGAACGUGCUUGGGAUUGUUGAGCACCCAAACCUUGUCAAACUGAUAGGUUACUGUGCGGACGACGAUGAGCGGGGAAUGCAGCGGCUUCUGGUAUACGAAUACAUGCCCAACGGAAGCGUGGAUGACCACUUGGCAAGUAGGUCAACCUCAACUCUGUCAUGGCCAAUGAGACUGAAAGUAGCUCUUGAUGCUGCUCGUGGACUCAAGUAUCUGCACGAGGAGAUGGACUUUCAGGUUAUUUUCCGAGACCUGAAGACAUCUAACAUUCUAUUAGAUGAGAACUGGAAUGCAAAAUUAUCAGACUUCGGAUUGGCUAGGCAUGGACCACAGGAAGGGCUAUCCCAUGUCUCCACAGCGGUUGUUGGAACUCUAGGAUACGCCGCGCCGGAGUACAUGCAAACCGGGCGCCUCACCGCAAAAAGUGACAUAUGGGGCUACGGCGUGCUCCUCUACGAGCUCAUCACCGGCCGGCGUCCCAUCGACCGGAACCGCCCAAAGGGCGAGCAGAAGCUCCUGGACUGGGUGAAACCGUACAUCUCCGACGUCAAGCGGUUCCCCAUCAUCGUCGACCCGCGGCUCGAGGGACACUACAACCUCAAGUCCAUGACGAGGCUGGCCGGCGUGGCAAACCGCUGCCUCCUGCGGCUACCAAAGACGCGCCCGAAGAUGAGCGAGGUGUACGAGAUGGUCCAGAAGAUCGUCGACAGCGUCGAGAUCGGCCCACCGGAGCCUCCCCUGCACUACCACGGCUCGGUGUCCGGACCGGGCGCAAAGCGGACCAAGAAAGGGUCGCUGAAGAGGAGGCUCCAGGAGUUCAAGUUCGGGUGCCGACAGAUCGUGUGGCGGGGCUGGAAACCUGAGAUCAUAAAGACCUGCUGAAAUGGAUGCCACCCUCCUCCUGCCUGUGACUGGAAUGAUUCAGAUUCAAGCAAGAUGUGACCUGAACCUAAUGGAUUUCUGUCCACCAAUCGGAGGAUGCGCCUUAUCGGGAGCUCGAUGCGGAAUGAUCUGAAUAUCUGAUGCUGGGUGGUACAGAAUUGGAGGCAGAUCUUCCUGUGGUGGGCAGCAAUUGUGGGGCUCCUUUCGGCUUCGACGAAUCGGACCGGUCGGUCGUCCGAUUCGCCUGUCGACGAAGAAUCAGAAUAGAUGGAAGCCUGGCCUUUCUCCCCCCUCCUUGCUGUGAGGUGAUGUCCCUCUCGUCUCCCCUGACAUCUCAUAUGCCUGCCCUGUCAAGGCCAUCACCAUUCCUGGUGCCCAUCAUCUUCAGAGAUUAGCACAUGGUUUGUGUGACGACGGUGCAUCGUCUUCAGAAAACCAGGUGCAGAGUAUGUGUGACAUGUGGAGCAGAUGGUGAUCUGCCCAACCUGCCACAUGGUUUGCCAUUUGCAGCCACUGCUUUGCCAAUAGCUACUGACGGCGAGGGCUACCUGCCGAGAAAUCCGGCAGCAUUCAUGCAGCUCCUUUCCUCACUAGUUUAUGGCUUUUCUUCCCUCGCGGAAAGUUUCAGAGUUAAAAAUCGUCCAGAGGUCACCAAAUUUGUUAGGUUCUGAAGAAAGUGAGAAAUUUUCCGGUUCUCGGUCCAAUCGCCGCCGCCCCGUCCCCCAACGCCGGCCGUUUCUCGUCGACGUCGUCGCCGUCAUCGGCUUUGGAUGUUUCUUCAUGUUAUUAAUGCAAUAUAUACUUUUCCUUUUCCUCA